rnacentral:misc_RNA from 1 species
GAUGAAGAACGCAGUGAAAUGCGAUAAGUAAUGUGAAUUGCAGAAUUCAGUGAAUCAUCGAAUCUUUGAACGCACAUUGCGCCCCUUGGUAUUCCGAGGGGCAUGCCUGUUCGAGCGUCAUUAUAACCCUUCAAGCUCAGCUUGGUGUUGGGGCCUGCUGUAACUGGUAGCCCUUAAAGUCAGUGGCAGUGCUAUUAGGCUCUAAGCGUAGUAAUUCUUCUCGCUAUAGUGUGUAGUGAGCGCUUGCCAGAACCCCAAACUUUUAUAUGAUUGACCUCGGAUCAGGUAGGGAUACCCGCUGAACUUAAGCAUAUCAAUAAGCGGAGGA